GUCGUGGUCAUGUCCCCCUGCCUGGCGCUCAUCCGGCUGCACCCAGGGGGCUGGCUGGAGCACCGGGCGCGCAAGGAGAAAGAGAUCAUCACACCGAAGGCUCAGCGCUAG
rnacentral:lncRNA from 1 species